UUCAACCUGGAGAAACUCAGACGUAGAAAAGACGAUUAAAGAGUUUAAUGGCAAGAAUGAACAACAAUUCUUUGAAAAUGAAUAACAGUUCUUUGGCGCUCGGGCCCCGGCAGAAGAUUUGAGCUAUUAUUUGCUAAGAACUCGGGUGUACAUCCCCGACGCUGAUUAGGGAUACUCUUCCCCCCAGGGCCAGACACUGGUGGUGGAGGUCGGAAAAGGAUGACGUCUUGGAGAGCUGAAUGAUGCUGGUGGAGGUGGGUUGAGCACGGCUGGAGAGCAGCUGGCGGCGUGGGGGUGGAUGCAUAUAAGCGGAGCUUGAUUGAUGAUUGAGCUCCGGUCGAGGUCCGGCGCUCAGGUUGGAGGCGGCGAACAUGACGCAGCGAUUGGGUGGAGCAGAGCUUCCUGAUGCAGGAGGAGGAUUCGGACUUUUGGACGCCUGCAGUCACUCCGCAGUGGAAACGUUUCUCAGGAUGUCGGCAGAAUGGAAAUCCAAGCAGAAACCGAWUGGAUCAGAUGGAAAAGCAGAGCUGCUCCCGAUCCACCAUUUAACUGUUUCCAACAGAAGUUUUUUGGGUUUUUUCACCCAGUCAGAUGCAAACAGCUCUGAUCUUGGAGAAUGCAACACUUUUAUUUUGCUCAGGCUGUAAACUGCAUAAACACAUACUGUAUGUGGGUGAAUUUUCCACUAAAUGCAUGCAUAAUGAUUUAUUAACAUGUGAGAAAUGUCAUGUCUGUGCAGAGAGGCAGUGUUUACUCAGUGGAGUUAUUUUAAGAGCAAAUCUCCCAGAAUGCAUCAAGGCCUGAAAGCUCUGGGUUUUCUGUUUGUGCUGCAGAACGGACUUCAGAUGUUUGUUGGUAUUUUAUUACUGACACAGAUUUUGAAGAAUUUCUAAGCACUUAUUUGAAUCAUUAAAUAAUAAUCAUAUUAUUUCACCAUGCAGAAUGCAACCUAACUCACCUCUUGGGGUUAACAGUUUCAGUCUCACUGACAGCAGCUGAAGGUGGAUUUGGUUCCAAAAACUCUUUUUUUUUUUCAGCUCAGCUGCAGCAGAAAAAAAACAUUUCUGUUUCUUUUUGCUUCUCCCGUUGAGUCGUUCCUUCUCUUCAGCCUAAUCAUGAGAUCCAGGCCGUUCCUGAUACAUGAUUUGAUUGUCCGGUUCGACCCACAGCCAGCCUGGGCUGAUUUCCCCCUUCAGAUCAAAUGAGCUGCUCAACUUCCACAGUUUCUGUUCAAAUGACAUUUAGUCCACUGCAGAAAUAUUUAUUUAAUUAAAUCGUACGUACGACCUUCCA